rnacentral:rRNA from 1 species
GAUGAACGCUGGCGGCGUGCCUAAUACAUGCAAGUCGAGCGAACAGACGAGGAGCUUGCUCCUCUGACGUUAGCGGCGGACGGGUGAGUAACACGUGGAUAACCUACCUAUAAGACUGGGAUAACUUCGGGAAACCGGAGCUAAUACCGGAUAAUAUAUUGAACCGCAUGGUUCAAUAGUGAAAGACGGUUUUGCUGUCACUUAUAGAUGGAUCCGCGCCGCAUUAGCUAGUUGGUAAGGUAACGGCUUACCAAGGCAACGAUGCGUAGCCGACCUGAGGGGGUGAUAGGCCACCUGGGAACUGAGACAGGGUCCAGACUCCUAAGGGAGGCAGCAGUAGGGAAUCUUCCGCAAUGGGCGAAAGCAUGACGGAGCAACGCCGCGUGAGUGAUGACGGUCUUCGGAUCGUAAAACUGUGUUAUUAGGGAAGAACAAAUGUGUAAGUAACUAUGCCCGUCUUGACGGUACCUAAUCAGAAAGCCACGGCUAACUACGUG